rnacentral:tmRNA from 1 species
GGGGCCGUCACGGUUUCGACAGGCUAGCGAAGGCUUUCCUGUGAUGCAGGUCGAGAGUGAGUCUUCUCUCGCAAAUACUAGGCUCGAAAAAAAUGUAAUUGCGAACAACAUCGUUCCAUUUGCUCGUAAAGCGGCUCCUGUAGCUGCCUAAACACCUCUCAUAGGUUCGAGCGUUCUUAGUCUGACUCCGUUAAGGGCUAAGAACACAACCCCAACGGAUGCGCUAAUAAACUGCCUCUGGUCGGUUUGUUAGCAAAGAGCUAACCAGAGCAUCCCGCCAUCAGGGAUAAUUGAUGGUUCCCGCUCUGAGGGUCAGAAGAGCUAAACCUGUGAACGAUCGGGCGGUUAAUACCUAGUCUGGACAGCAGUUCGACUCUGCUCGGCUCCAUUG